UUAUCGCUGCUGACUUUGGAGCAUAAAUGCAAGCAACACCCCACAUCCAGCCUCUGGCCAACCUGUAAUCAGUUAAAAAUGACCUUCGCACUUCACCUGGGUGGGGAGUAUUGACAAUAUCAUACACUCUCAUGGUUACAGUACCUGACAACAAGCAAGGAAAGAGGUGAAAAGCCAGUUACACAGCUUUAUUGAAUAACCCUGCCCACAGCGUCUCUUGGUCACAGCACUUUCUACUACCUGACUGGCUACCAAAGCACGACUGGGGCAGGUGUUGUGUUUAAAAGACAUGCAGUUUAUUCAGUGGUGAGAUUUUAGCUUAUUUUGGACGAGCAGCUACAGGGACCAUCAGGUGGUGCUGGACGCAUCUGGAAUGUGGAAUCCCAAUGCAGGAACCCCUGGUGGGAUGCCACCACCCAACAUGCAGCCUUAUCCCCCUCCUCCUGGAUCAUACCCUGGCCCUUAUCCAGGGCCUGGCAUGCCAGCAUGCCCAGUCCCAGGUUAUCCUGGUUCUGGCCACCCUCCUCCACCUUGUGGACCCCCAGGCAUGUAUCCUGGGCCUGGUGGACCCCACCUCCACCCCCAUCCUCAUGGAGCCCACCCACAUGGACCCCACCCUCAUGGACCCCAAGGCAUGAUGCCUGGGGGACCAGGAUGUCAGCCUGUUUCUCCUGGUUAUUAUCCCUCGGGUGGUCAUCAUGGACAUCAUAAAAAGCAUAAGAAAAAGCAAAAGAAGCAUUCCCAUGGACACGGAGGCAAGAAAAGCAGUGGCUCAAGCAGCAGCAGCAGUUCUGAUUCUGAUUAAAGAAGACCUCUCCUCUCAGCCUGGAUCGAGAUGGGUGAUGCAACAGAAGUAGAAUCUAAUUUAGGAAUGCGCUGUUAUUCUACCAAGUCAUUCUUCUAUUCCCCUUUCCACCCCCUUCAGAAUGAAUUUUGUGUAACCUGGUGCGUAGCGAUUUCCUGUUUCUGGCCUCUGACAUUUCCGGCUGGACACAUUUUAGGAUCCUGAACUGAAGUUUUCACCAUGUCUUUACAGAAAAUUCUCUGUCUUAGAGGGUUUCAUUCUCUAAUCCCUGCUGAGAUGCAAAGGGACCACAUAUAACAAUGUAAUGAUUAAACGUUCCGGCUGUGAAUGGAUGG